rnacentral:lncRNA from 1 species
UGAUAACAAGUCUGGCUUUAUACCUUUCAAUACAGCCAUCAGCCUUGUAUUUGAUUUUAUAAACCCAUUUACAACCAAUGGGUUUCUUACCAGGAGGAAGAGGAACAACAUCCGAAGUAUGGUUUUUGUCCAAAGCAUCAAACUCCUGUCUCAUGGCAGCCUGCCAUGCUGGAACAGAUGCAGCUUGAGAGUAAUAUAGAGGCUCAGAUUCCAAAGAGGAGGAAGAUGGCAGGUAGUUAACAGACAUAAUCCUUAAGAUAAGAAGGAGGAUUAUGCUGUCUUUGAGAUUUUCUGGGAGUAGGAACAGAAGGAGAGGAAGCCAAAAUAGGAGGUGAGAUGUCAGGAUUGAAAGAAGAAGGGAAGGUAGAAUCAGGAGCAGGAAUAGAAGGAGAAGAACCCAAAACAAGAGGUGAGAUGUCAGGAUUGAAAGAAGAAUGGAAUGUAGAAUCAGUAGAGGCAGGGACAGUAUAAGGCACUUGCACAGAUGUGGGAGAAGAGGGAGAGGAGAGAAGUAUGGGAGAAUCAGAAUCAUCAUCAUGUUCUCCAGAAGGAACAAAGGGAAAAGAUGAAGCAGAAGGAUGAGCAGAAGAAAGAGAGUAUGGGAGAAUCAGAAUCAUCAUCAUGUUCUCCAGAAGGAACAAAAGGAAAAGAUGAAGCAGAAGGAUGAGCAGAAGGAGACAUAGUUUGAAAAGGAAAACAUGAUUCAUGAAAUAUGACAUCCCUG